rfam:Otolemur garnettii contig045549, whole genome shotgun sequence.
GUUCUUGCUCAGCAGCACGCAUAUUAAAAUGGGAACAAUACAGAGAAGAUUAGCAGGGACCCUUCACAAGGGUGACAUGCAAAUUCAUGAAACAUUAUAAAAAAAUUUUU